CACCAUCAUAUCUCCACUACCACCAUCAUCUCCGCCAUCACUAUCAUCACCAUCAUAGCCACCACUAUCAUCUUUACUAUCACUUUUACUAUCAUUUUUUCUAUCAUAACCAUUACUACUAUCAUCAUAUUGUCUCUACAAAUGUUGUUUCUAUUAAUAUGCUAUUCUUACCACUUCUAUCAUACCAUUAUGCUAAUAUGGCCUCUAUGA
rnacentral:lncRNA from 1 species